AGAGUUUGAUCAUGGCUCAGAGCGAACGCUGGCGGCAGGCUUAACACAUGCAAGUCGAGCGCCGUAGCAAUACGGAGCGGCAGACGGGAGAGUAACACGUGGGAACAUACCUUUCGGUUCGGAAUAACUCAGGGAAACUUGAGCUAAUACCGGAUACGCCCGCAAGGGGAAAGAUUUAUCGCCGGAAGAUUGGCCCGCGUCCGAUUAGCUAGUUGGUGAGGUAAUGGCUCACCAAGGCGACGAUCGGUAGCUGGUCUGAGAGGAUGAUCAGCCUCACUGGGACUGAGACACGGCCCAGACUCCUACGGGAGGCAGCAGUGGGGAAUAUUGGACAAUGGGCGCAAGCCUGAUCCAGCCAUGCCGCGUGGGUGAUGAAGGCCUUAGGGUUGUAAAGCCCUUUCGGCGGGGAAGAUAAUGACGGUACCCGCAGAAGAAGCCCCGGCUAACUUCGCGCCAGCAGCCGCGGUAAUACGAAGGGGGCUAGCGUUGCUCGGAAUCACUGGGCGUAAAGCGCACGUAGGCGGGUCUUUAAGUCAGGGGUGAAAUCCUGGAGCUCAACUCCAGAACUGCCUUUGAUACUGGAGAUCUUGAGUUCGGGAGAGGUGAGUGGAACUGCGAGUGUAGAGGUGAAAUUCGUAGAUAUUCGCAAGAACACCAGUGGCGAAGGCGGCUCACUGGCCCGGUACUGACGCUGAGGUGCGAAAGCGUGGGGAGCAAACAGGAUUAGAUACCCCGGUAGUCC
rnacentral:rRNA from 1 species